rnacentral:rRNA from 1 species
AUUGAACGCUGACGGCGUGCUUAACACAUGCAAGUCGAAGGGAGUGGCGAACGGGUGAGUAACACGUGAGUAACCUGCCCUUUUCUUUGGGAUAAGCCUGGGAAACUGGGUCUAAUACUGGAUGGAUUGGGAUGGGCUCGGGGCUUAUCGGCUUGGUGGUGGGGUGAUGGUUUAACCAGGCUUUGACGGGUAGCCGGCCUGAGAGGGUGGUCGGUAACACUGGGACGGAGAUACGGCCCAGAGUCCUACGGGAGGCAGCAGUGGGGGAUAUUGCACAAUGGAUGAAAGUCUGAUGCAGCGACGUCGUGUGGGGGCUGAAGGCCUUCGGGUUGUAAACUCCGUUCGGCAGAGGAAUGGUAGUGGGUAAAGAAGCGCCGGCUAACUACGUGCCAGCAGCCGCGGUAAUAC